rnacentral:lncRNA from 1 species
UAAUUUAUAUGCUUGCUUGUGUCUUAAGACACACAAUUUUCAAUACGAGAUCAAAUUAAUUAAGUUUAAUUUUCUCUGUAUAGUAGAAUGAAGUGCUUUUGUACGUGGAGCAAAUACAGGAGGUCACAACUUUUCUUGUAUCCUGUCUCAGCAUGAACAAAUUCAUAUUGUCAUCGCACAGACGAGAUACAAGCACUCUUCUCUUACACAAGCGAAGUGGAGAAGAUGAAGAAUAUGAGACCUUCUUUGCAACUGGCGCCAACUAGAUCACAGUUCUCACAACUCUUGGCGACUUGCCAAUCACGAGCUCGCACUCACCACACCAGUGAGACCACGGCAGUCUAGUUUCGAUCUCAGCAAACAUCUUCUAUGCCGACUACACCAGUCACGGCAAUGCGCGGAUCAACAAAACAACUUGCUCGGCACACACGAUCUCAACACGAGACUUCGGGUUCGGUAAACUGGUACCUUAGGCACGAAUUUAAAUUGAACUUGCUUGUUAUUAGGCACAAAUUUGCAAUCGACUCGCUUAUCAUUAGACACGAGUUUACAAAAACUCGUCUUUGGCUAGGCAUGAGUUUAUAGAGACUCUCCUUCUACUAGGCACGAGCUCUCAAUAAACUCGCCUCCGUCUCAGCAUGAGUUUAGUAAGCUCGUCUUUCGCUAAGCACGAGUUUAAAGCAAAUUUGCUUUUUAUUAAGCACAAGUUCAAAGUAAACUCGCCUAAAUCAUCAUAGGCAGGAAUGUGUCUAAUUAAUUGUCUAAUAAACCCUAUUCGUAAAAUUCAUAAAGAUCGACUUCAUCUCUCUCUACGAACUUGGGGGGCUUACUGUUGGGGGUGGAUUUACAUCCUUCCUCAAGGCCCAUUAGACACUUAAUUAGACCCACUUCCUUAUGAAACCCUAGCCAUCUUUAUUCUAUAAAUAAGAAACUAUCUCUUUAUUAGUGGUGGUCCUCUCCAUUUUUACACUAAGAACACAUCUUGUAAAGAGUUUAUGGAUUAUUAGAUUUACUUUACACUAGUAAUCAUACUUGUAAUACAAUCUUUGAUCAAUAAACUCUUUUAUGUUCAUUUCCCAUUUGAUUUCAUCUAAAGAUUUUAUCUUAAACCUCAAGAAUCUAAUUCUCAUUCUUAGAUUCUUUUAUUGUAUUGAUUCAACCAAAACCACCAGUAUAAACACCAUUUUUGGAUCAAACAAAAAGGUUAAAAAUUCUAAUUGAUUAACGAAGAUGAUGAUUAUUUUAGAAGCAAUUUAUUCGAAACCACAUCAUAAUUAUUACUUGAUUGGUCACAGUCCACCAUAAUUAUGUAGAUCAAAAUGACGUAAAUCAAAAUCAUCAAUGAUUUUUAUAAGCUAGUUAUUAAUCAUUUUUGGGAAUGCAGUUUUUAGCAGAGGCGAUCUUGAUGGGUUUGCUUUUGAGGACAGGAUUUUGUUCGAAAAAGUUGGUAGGUCGGAGUUCAAAGCCACCGGAUAAUGUAGGCAUCGUUGGGAAAUCUUCUUGGCUUGGGACAUGGUGGAAUCCGAUGGUGUACCACAUCACUAUAUCUUUAUUCUCUAUUUCUCUAUUCCUGUCACAUUCGGUUACACAUAACGUUUAGUCCCACAAUUUUUUUUAAAAAAGACGUAACAAUUUCUCUUCUAAAUACAAAAUAUACGUACCUUAAACUUUACAUCUAAC